rnacentral:rRNA from 1 species
CCUACGGGUGGCAGCAGUGGGGAAUAUUGGACAAUGGGGGCAACCCUGAUCCAGCCAUGCCGCGUGUGUGAAGAAGGCCCUCGGGUUGUAAAGCACUUUCAGUGAGGAAGAACGCCUGGUGGUUAAUACCCAUCAGGAAAGACAUCACUCACAGAAGAAGCACCGGCUAACUCCGUGCCAGCAGCCGCGGUAAUACGGAGGGUGCGAGCGUUAAUCGGAAUUACUGGGCGUAAAGCGCGCGUAGGUGGCUUGAUAAGCCGGUUGUGAAAGCCCCUGGCUCAACCUGGGAACGGCAUCCGGAACUGUCAAGCUAGAGUGCAGGAGAGGAAGGUAGAAUUCCCGGUGUAGCGGUGAAAUGCGUAGAGAUCGGGAGGAAUAACAGUGGCGAAGGCGGCCGUCUGGACUGACACUGACACUGAGGUGCGAAAGCGUGGGUAGCAAACAGGAUUAGAUACCCGAGUAGUC